AGAUGAGGUCCUUCAGAAACUGUUGUGCCACGAAGAGAGAAAGACAGUCUAGCAAUAGAAAUUUUUAAAUGUUUAAAAUAUUUAGAAUUAUUCUUAAACAAAUGAAAUAUGUUUCUAUGAAAACUUUGUCUUCAUGCCCAUUUCCCAGAAGGGGAUGAAGAAUAAGGAAAAAUUAGAAGGAAGAAAGUAUUGCUGAAUGGCAAUUUUAUACUUGGUUUCAAGGAACGUACAAGAAAAUAUUGUUUAUCAAAUGUUCCAUUCAAAAAUAAUGUUGAAAUAUUACAGUACAGAAUGCAUCUUAGAUCAUUUUUAAAAUGUAUGGAGGAGAAACACGGAUGCUACAAUGCUAUUUUCAAUUUUGAUUACACAAUGCAACUUUAAGUCUUAUUUAAAGAGAUUUAAACAAAUAUUUUUAAUUUCAUUGCCCCUUUUCGAUACACUCAGUUUUGAAAAAUUAUAAAAAUUAAGGAAUUUACAUUGAGAUAUAAAGAGAAAGAUAAAAAUAUGUGCAUACACUAAAAUAAUUACAGCAUACUUUAUUAUAAUUGCAGACACAGGUCUUAACACAAAAUAUAAAUUCAAUUGUAGCUAUCUUUAAAUCUGUGCAAGAAAUAUUACACAAAACUGAAAACAAGAUUAUGUCAAAAUAUUUUAAUAAUAAUAUGGUUCAUAAACUGGUUUGAAAUUUGUACAAAACUCUCCAAAUAAGCCUUUACCACAAUACUCUAUUUUUUAAACAUUUUCAGCCAUUUGAGCAGGCAUUAUUAUGAUGCAUCGAAGAGAAUACAAAACAGGAAGCCCAAUUUCAAAAUUAAAUUAAACAUGUUGAAUAAGAACAAUUUAAAACAAGCAUGUAGUAAUGGACGAAAAAUAAAUAAUUCAAUAAAGAAAUAAAAAACAAUUAUAAACACAAUAAAAUAAUAUAAAAUAUGACAAAAAACAUACAUAAUAAAAUAAGAAAUAAAAGUACAAAUAGUAUAAAUAAAAUACAAAAAAUAAUAUGAUAUCCUGAACCAUCUUAUUUGUAAAGCAAUUGGAAGUUUCCAAAAUUAUUUUGGAUAACCACAUUUAUGUUCAUAGUGAUUUAACUUUCUCUAAAGAAUUAACAACUGAAGAAUUGUUACAAAAUAUGAUAAUUGCAAAUACAGUUAAUAGCAAUGUCAACUUGUUAACAAAGUAGAAUGUACAGUACUCUGUUAAUUACUAUCUUGGAUGCAAUUAAAUGUGUUAGCAUCUACAUUAUUAAGUGUGUAAUAAGAAACUGAUGUUUCCUAAGAUAUUUUUGAUAAAUUGGAUGAAAUUGAACUAAAAUUUAAUUCUUUAGAACUUAUUGGAAAGUAUCAAUUCAAUUCCUUGCACAGAAAGCUAGAACUUCUUUAAAUAAGUUUCACUCUUUUUCUAGCAGUUUCUUAAUCCAUAAGAGAACAAACGUUUUUGGCCAUUUUAAAUGGCCUUCUUCAGGUUCUAUAACAUUGGAACGGCAGUUAACGAGGAGUGAUUGCCAAGCAGUGGAGAGCAAGUUCGCAUCUCUGUUGUUAAUACAAUUUUCUUUGAGGGAUUUUUCAAAGAUUUCUAGUGUUUCUAUUGUUCUAAGUUUGUUACUAUUGAGAAUUAGUAUUAAAAUCUUAUCAUCUUCCCAUUUGGCCAUUAUAUUUGACUCGCUUGCAAAUUGGGCUAGUGUGGUAUUAAACUUUUUAUUGUAUCGUAUUUAUGCUCGGCGAUCCUUUUUGUAAGUGAUCUGUUGGUUGAGCCUAUGUAUGUUAAGUUUUUGUUCAGAUUAAAUACAGAUUAAGAAACUGCUAGAAAAAGAGUGAAAGGUUUUGUGAAACUUAAGCAUCAAUUCAUUCAAAUAAAUAAAAGAAAUUUCUGUCAUUCCUGAAAGGUGAAUCUAUAUAUAUAAAAAUGAAUGUGUGUGUGUGUGUGUGUGUGUGUGUGUCU
rnacentral:lncRNA from 1 species